rnacentral:rRNA from 1 species
CCCUUAGAUGUCCUGGGCCGCACGCGCGCUACACUGAUGCAUUCAACGAGUAUUUCCUUGGCCGAGAGGCCUGGGCAAUCUUUUAAACCUGCAUCGUGAUAGGGAUAGAUUAUUGCAAUUAUUAAUCUUGAACGAGGAAUUCCUAGUAAACGCAAAUCAUCAAUUUGCAUUGAUUACGUCCCUGUCCUUUGUACACACCGCCCGUCGCACCUACCGAUUGAAUGGUCCGGUGAAAUCUCGGGAUUGUGGCCAGUUCACUUUAUUGGGAGUUGGCUGCGAGAACUUGCUUAAACCUUAUCAUUUAGAGGAAGGUGAAGUCGUAACA